rnacentral:rRNA from 1 species
UUGGAGGAAGGAUAGAGAAAGCUGGUCAGAAGAUGUAUCUAGUAAUAUUAGUAAUUAAUAUGGACAAUCUAAGAUUGUUAAAUUUCUAUGCAGAGAUGUUAUGACAAUUUCUGUAGAUGUCUUGACCAAGUCACGUGCCAGCAGUCGCGGUAAUACGUGGAAGAUUAGUGUUAUUCAUCUUUAUCAGGUUUAAAGGGUACCUAGACGGUUAAUUAAGUACUAAUAAACUAGAGUUUAAUAUAAGGAGGAUUGAGUACUGUGAGUGGAGAGAUUAAAUUCUGUGAUACCACGUAGGAACUGGUAAAGGCGUAGGCAACCUUUUAUGUAAAAACUGACGUUGAAGGACGAAGGCU